GUGGGGAAUUUUGGACAAUGGGCGCAAGCCUGAUCCAGCAAUGCCGCGUGCAGGAAGAAGGCCUUCGGGUUGUAAACUGCUUUUGUCAGGGAAGAAAUCUUCUGGGCUAAUACCCCGGGAGGAUGACGGUACCUGAAGAAUAAGCACCGGCUAACUACGUGCCAGCAGCCGCGGUAAUACGUAGGGUGCGAGCGUUAAUCGGAAUUACUGGGCGUAAAGCGUGCGCAGGCGGUUAUGUAAGACAGAUGUGAAAUCCCCGGGCUCAACCUGGGAACUGCAUUUGUGACUGCAUGACUGGAGUGCGGCAGAGGGGGAUGGAAUUCCGCGUGUAGCAGUGAAAUGCGUAGAUAUGCGGAGGAACACCGAUGGCGAAGGCAAUCCCCUGGGCCUGCACUGACGCUCAUGCACGAAAGCGUGGGGAGCAAACAGGAUUAGAUACCCUUGUAGUCC
rnacentral:rRNA from 1 species